UACAGAGGGUGCGAGCGUUAAUCGGAAUUACUGGGCGUAAAGCGCACGUAGGUGGCGACGUAAGUCGGGUGUGAAAGCCCCGGGCUCAACCUGGGAAUUGCAUUCGAGACUGCAUUGCUGGAGUACGGAAGAGGAGGGCGGAAUUCCCGGUGUAGCGGUGAAAUGCGUAGAUAUCGGGAGGAACAUCAGUGGCGAAGGCGGCGCUUUGGUCCAGUACUGACACUCAAGUGCGAAAGCGUCGGGAGCAAAUAGG
rnacentral:rRNA from 1 species